rnacentral:lncRNA from 1 species
AAACACUCACUCUCCCACAAUGGGAAGAACCCUGGUGUCCAGAGCUACCUCCUCCUCCCCAGGUCCCCAAGCUAGGCCAGGGAAGUGACUCUGGCUGUUAGCCACAGCCCACGCCUACCCUUGCCCUGUGAUUCAGACACCCGAGUUCAGAGCCAGCCUCCAAGAGUAUCUUACAUCCCAGCGUCUCCUGGAAGGCCGUAUGAUCCAGCACUGGGGAGAGGAGGGAAAUCCCCAGGACUCGAAUGCCCAUCCCACCCUUGGUGUAGUGAGGACUCAUCCUGCUGGAAAGGCCCCUGAAGAACUUCAAGUUCCAAUAUCCCGUUUUUACAGAUGGGGAAACUGACAUGAAGAGGAGUCCAAAGUGACACAGUCAGGCCAGAAAUGUUGCUUCUGAAGUCCUGAGUCCACCUCCUAGCACUGCCAAGCAGUCCACCUGGAGGUGAUGAGAACUUCCAGGCUUUGGUAAUGGACAACUCUGUAUCCCUGGAGCCUUCAUUCCUUUUGGCAUUACAGAACCACAAGAAGUCAUCUAGAAUCAUUGAGAUUCUCAACUCCAUUGGGCAAACUGGAACCAGCAAAAUCUCAGAUAUCUAGAAUUGCCACUGCUUCCUUGACUCUGUGAUCAGUCUACAGCCACAGAAUCCUGAUUCCCUUUGGACAUUCUAGAAUGGCACUUUAAAAAAAAACAACCCACCCAGUGGAUCCUUUCAAAGCA